rnacentral:rRNA from 1 species
GAUGAACGCUGGCGGCGUGCCUAAUACAUGCAAGUCGAGCGAACAGACGAGGAGCUUGCUCCUCUGACGUUAGCGGCGGACGGGUGAGUAACACGUGGAUAACCUACCUAUAAGACUGGGAUAACUUCGGGAAACCGGAGCUAAUACCGGAUAAUAUAUUGAACCGCAUGGUUCAAUAGUGAAAGACGGUUUUGCUGUCAAUUAUAGAUGGAUCCGCGCCGCAUUAGCUAGUUGGUAAGGUAACGGCUUACCAAGGCAACGAUGCGUAGCCGACCUGAGAGGGUGAUCGGCCACACUGGAACUGAGACACGGUCCAGACUCCUACGGGAGGCAGCAGUAGGGAAUCUUCCGCAAUGGGCGAAAGCCUGACGGAGCAACGCCGCGUGAGUGAUGAAGGUCUUCGGAGCGUAAAACUCUGUUAUUAGGGAAGAACAAAUGUGUAAGUAACUAUGCACGUCUUGACGGUACCUAAUCAGAAAGCCACGGCUAACUACGUG